UCCAGAAGUGAAAUCAAUAAAUUUCUGUUGUUCAUAAGCCACUCAGUCUGUGGUAUUUUGUGAUCGCAGCCCGAAUGGACUGAGACACGUGGCA